rnacentral:rRNA from 1 species
GCUAAAUAGUGUCGGCUUCUCUUUUGAGCCGACAAUUCUUCUUAGAGGGACUGGCAACUCUCAGUUGCACGAGAUUGAGCAAUAACAGGUCUGUGAUGCCCUUAGAUGUUCUGGGCCGCACACGCGCUACACUGAAUAGAUCAGCGUGUUUUCCCUUUCUGAGAAGAACGGGUAAACCGCUGAACCCUAUUCGUGGUAGGGAUCGGGGCUUGCAAUUGUUCCCCGUGAACCAGGAAUUCCCAGUAGGCGCCAGUCAUAAGCUGGCGUCGAUUACGUCCCUGCCCUUUGUACACACCGCCCGUCGCUACUACCGAUUGAACGUUUUAGUGAGGUCCUCGGACUGUUUGGCUGGCGGAUCACUCUGCCUGCCUGGCGGGAAGACGACCAAACUGUAGCGUUUAGAGGAAGUAAAAGUCGUAACAAGGUAUCCG